AUAAACCCUGAGAAAGAGAGAGUACAUAUAGCGAUUGUUUCAGCGAGCUAGAGUUGGUGUGAGUCUAGCAACAUAACUAUAUCGAAGAGAGCUCUAGAGGGGAUUUUCUGAAAUAGUAGUAGGAAAAUACGGUAUCCACCGUUAAAGGAUUUGAGUGGGUAGAAGUAAUUCUAUCAACAAGAGUGGUAACACGGAAGCAAACUUUCGUCUCUUAU
rfam:[Clostridium] thermoalcaliphilum strain DSM 7309 CLOTH_contig000001, whole genome shotgun sequence.